CCUACGGGCGGCUGCAGUGAGGAAUAUUGGUCAAUGGCCGGAAGGCUGAUCCAGCCAAGCCGCGUGAAGGACGAAGGUGCCAAGCUUUGUAAACUUCUUUUGUCAGGGGACAAAAUCAGGCUCGAGCGCCUGACCGAGGGUACUUGAAGAAAAAGCAACGGCUAACUCCGUGCCAGCAGCCGCGGUAAUACGGGGGAUGCGCGCGUUAUCCGGAUUUAUUGGGGUUAAGGGGUGCGUAGGCGGACUGUUAAGUCAGCGGGAACAGCCCGGGGCUAAACCCCGGCGAGCCGUUGAAACUGGCUGUCUUGAGAUGUCGAGAGGUAUGCGGAAUGCGCAGUGUAGCGGUGAAAUGCUUAGAUAUUGCGCAGAACUCCGAUUGCGAAGGCAGCAUACCGGCGGCGAUCUGACGCUGAGGCACGAAAGCGUGGGUAUCGAACAGGAUUAGAUACCCUUGUAGUC
rnacentral:rRNA from 1 species